AACAGGAUUAGAUACCCUGGUAGUCCACGCCGUAAACGAUGAGUGCUAGAUGUAGGGAGCUAUAAGUUCUCUGUAUCGCAGCUAACGCAAUAAGCACUCCGCCUGGGGAGUACGACCGCAAGGUUGAAACUCAAAGGAAUUGACGGGGGCCCGCACAAGCGGUGGAGCGUGUGGUUUAAUUCGAAGCAACGCGAAGAACCUUACCAGGUCUUGACAUACUCGUGCUAUUCCUAGAGAUAGGAAGUUCCUUCGGGACACGGGAUACAGGUGGUGCAUGGUUGUCGUCAGCUCGUGUCGUGAGAUGUUGGGUUAAGUCCCGCAACGAGCGCAACCCCUAUUGUUAGUUGCCAUCAUUAAGUUGGGCACUCUAACGAGACUGCCGGUGAUAAACCGGAGGAAGGUGGGGAUGACGUCAAAUCAUCAUGCCCCUUAUGACCUGGGCUACACACGUGCUACAAUGGAUGGUACAACGAGUCGCGAGACAGUGAUGUUUAGCUAAUCUCUUAAAACCAUUCUCAGUUCGGAUUGUAGGCUGCAACUCGCCUACAUGAAGUCGGAAUCGCUAGUAAUCGCGGAUCAGCACGCCGCGGUGAAUACGUUCCCGGGCCUUGUACACACCGCCCGUCACACCACGGGAGUUGGGAGUACCCGAAGUAGGUUGCCUAACCGCAAGGAGGGCGCUUCCUAAGGUAAGACCGAUGACUGGGGUGAAGUCGUAACAAGGUAACC
rnacentral:rRNA from 1 species